GGAAAGGCCCUUCGGGGUACUCGAGUGGCGAACGGGUGAGUAACACGUGGGUGAUCUGCCCUGCACUUUGGGAUAAGCCUGGGAAACUGGGUCUAAUACCGAAUAGGACCGCAUGCUUCAUGGUGUGUGGUGGAAAGCUUUUGCGGUGUGGGAUGGGCCCGCGGCCUAUCAGCUUGUUGGUGAGGUAAUGGCUUACCAAGGCGACGACGGGUAGCCGGCCUGAGAGGGUGACCGGCCACACUGGGACUGAGAUACGGCCCAGACUCCUACGGGAGGCAGCAGUGGGGAAUAUUGCACAAUGGGCGCAAGCCUGAUGCAGCGACGCCGCGUGAGGGAUGACGGCCUUCGGGUUGUAAACCUCUUUCGCCAGGGACGAAGCGCAAGUGACGGUACCUGGAGAAGAAGGACCGGCCAACUACGUGCCAGCAGCCGCGGUAAUACGUAGGGUCCGAGCGUUGUCCGGAAUUACUGGGCGUAAAGAGCUCGUAGGUGGUUUGUCGCGUUGUUCGUGAAAACUCACAGCUUAACUGUGGGCGUGCGGGCGAUACGGGCAGACUUGAGUACUGCAGGGGAGACUGGAAUUCCUGGUGUAGCGGUGGAAUGCGCAGAUAUCAGGAGGAACACCGGUGGCGAAGGCGGGUCUCUGGGCAGUAACUGACGCUGAGGAGCGAAAGCGUGGGGAGCGAACAGGAUUAGAUACCCUGGUAGUCCACGCCGUAAACGGUGGGUACUAGGUGUGGGUUUCCUUCCUUGGGAUCCGUGCCGUAGCUAACGCAUUAAGUACCCCGCCUGGGGAGUACGGCCGCAAGGCUAAAACUCAAAGAAAUUGACGGGGGCCCGCACAAGCGGCGGAGCAUGUGGAUUAAUUCGAUGCAACGCGAAGAACCUUACCUGGGUUUGACAUGCACAGGACGCCGGCAGAGAUGUCGGUUCCCUUGUGGCCUGUGUGCAGGUGGUGCAUGGCUGUCGUCAGCUCGUGUCGUGAGAUGUUGGGUUAAGUCCCGCAACGAGCGCAACCCUUGUCUCAUGUUGCCAGCACGUUAUGGUGGGGACUCGUGAGAGACUGCCGGGGUCAACUCGGAGGAAGGUGGGGAUGACGUCAAGUCAUCAUGCCCCUUAUGUCCAGGGCUUCACACAUGCUACAAUGGCCGGUACAAAGGGCUGCGAUGCCGUGAGGUGGAGCGAAUCCUUUCAAAGCCGGUCUCAGUUCGGAUCGGGGUCUGCAACUCGACCCCGUGAAGUCGGAGUCGCUAGUAAUCGCAGAUCAGCAACGCUGCGGUGAAUACGUUCCCGGGCCUUGUACACACCGCCCGUCACGUCAUGAAAGUCGGUAACACCCGAAGCCGGUGGCCUAACCCCUUGUG
rnacentral:rRNA from 1 species